rnacentral:rRNA from 1 species
UACAGAGGGGGCAAGCGUUAUUCGGAAUUAUUGGGCGUAAAGGGCGCGUAGGCGGCUUGGCAAGUGGAUGGUGAAAUCCCUCGGCUUAACCGAGGAACUGCCGUCCAAACUGCUUCGCUUGAGACCGGGAGAGGUGAGUGGAAUUCUUGGUGUAGCGGUGAAAUGCGUAGAUAUCAAGAGGAACACCUGCGGCGAAGGCGGGUUGCUGGGCUGACACUGACGCUGAAGUGCGAAAGCUAGGGGAGCGAACGGG